GUUAUUUUGCAGGAAGUUGUCGUUGCUGGGCGUACUGCGCAUGUGCGAGCUGUCCAUCCGCUUGGUUCAGUUCAGCGUGUGAUUCAAUGGACGGAGGACGACAGGUGUGGCGCGGGACUACAUCAACACAGGAUCAUGUCUGGCGAAAAGAAAACGCCAGGUUGAUAAUCACUGUGAUAGACCAGACUACAACAGACCCUGCUUUCAUUAUCCAUAUGAACCAGUGAGUUCCCAGGACAGAUCUCAGCGUUCACAUGAAGGAGAGUUCUGCAGGAGGCCCGUAGGAGAAACCUGGGAAUGCCCCGGCUGCCUCCUUGACGCUGCUGGUCACGGUCAGGGAGUCGUUGCACAGAGACGAGGUGACGGGCAGGUGGGUGAACUCAGGGUCGAAGUGUCUCAGGUCUGUGGGGCCGGACUGUUAAACAAAAACAGGCGAGACGUGAAUUAGACAUACUGGCAUGAACGAACAGUGAAAAUACAAGUUUAAGAAUUAAAACGCUUCCAAAUCCCAAACA